rnacentral:lncRNA from 1 species
GAAUAUUUCAAACGUAUAUUCUUCCUAUUUCUUUUUUGGAAUAUCUUUGUGUCAAAUUUUGGUAUCAAAUUUUGAAACUUGUUUCUUCUAUUUGAACACAUUACAUGCAAAAAGACAUGAAUUUUUUGGAAUUUGUACAAGUCCAAUAGGGACUAUCCUCAUUCACUAGGGAGAUAUUAAGAUGGAGCUUUGUUACCAUCUCUUUUAUAGAGUUUGGUGAUGUCACCCACCUAAUUGUAAAGAGGACUUUGCCAGUUCAAUUGUCAAACCAAAAGCUUAUAUUACUUCUUCUCACCUUCCGCCAAAUGAUAUCUUCCACUUUUUUCUCAUUUCACACAUAGCUUCCGGUUAUGUGAUUGACCAGCUUUUCACUGGAAUUGACAGGAUGCCCACCUCUGCAGUAUUUUGCCAUAAGGAAUUGGGACCGAAGUGAGUUAGUAGUUUUGAAUUUCCACCACUAGUUAGCUCUAAAAACUUUGCUAGUAUCUUUAUACCUUCUAAAUUUAGAACCUCCUUCCUAGUAUGGCAAGCAUAAGCUUACUUCAAGCAACCCACUGACGCUUAUCUCUACUAUCAUUACCUAACCAGAAGAAUCCAGAAAUAUAUGUUUUAACAUCUCAAAAGUGUAAUUUGGAGGGUGGACAGUAGUUAAGUAUGAGUAUCAAGGACCAUUAGUACAUGUCUAAUAAACAUUGCUUUACCACCAGCUGAUAGAAAUUUAAGUUGCCAGCCCUUGAUUUUAUUGAUGAUUUUACUACCCAUUUCAGAGAAAUAAGUCUGCUUUUUUCAACCAAAGUAUAGGAGUCAACCCAGAUAUUUCACAGGCAAACUCUUAAAUUGCAUACCUAACAUCUUCCCACGUUUCUGAUAGGCACCUGGGGAGAGUUGGGAGCCAUAGUGUAGCAGCUCUUGUUUCUGUUUAUCAGCUGACCAGAGACACUCUCAUAUGUAGCCAGAGUGUUCAAUAUGAAUUGAAUUAAUAAAAAUGAUUGUGCCAUCAACAAAGACUAAAUGGUUGUUCUUAGGCCCUUGAUUGGACAUGAAGAAAUCUAUGUAGUUUCUGUGGUCAUGAAGGGCAUUUAACAUUUGGGUCAGAAGCUCAGCAGUAAGGACAAACAGAGAAGGUAAGAGGGGAUUCCUUAAAUGACUUGAAAAACACAUUCCUACUCCCACCAACAAUGAGGGAAUACUAGUU